AUGGCUCUGCACAGGACCUCCAGACCAGAGUCGUCAGACUCGUCCCACUGGGGGUCAGGUGUGCUCCAGAUCGUCUGUGAAAAGUUCCACCAGCGGAGUUCUGAGCCAAAGGGAAGGCUCCUGGGCGGACAGCCGCCCACUCCCCCUUCUGAGACCGACAAGGAGCUUCAGGGCAUAGCAGAUCUGUCUGUGAGUAACAUCCUGAAAAGGGCCCAGGAGGACCUCUUCUCUUCUGGUGAGGAUGACCUGGAGAACACCCAUCCAGGUAUUACUCUGACAGAAGAGAAGCUCUCCAGCAUCUUCUCAGAGCUGUUCAGGGAUGCCUGUGAGAGUGCCCAGGAGGCCGCCAGACGGAUCCACCACAUGAGGUCUGGAAGAGGCAACAACAGCCAGAAUGGGAGUUGGCCUGGGUCGUCACAGGGAUCGAGCAAAUCCAACAUGCCAGAGUUGGGAGAACUGGGGUCAGUGAGGAGUCCCAAGGGAAGUGACGUCCAUAAAGUCCUUAGCGAGGGGUCCCUCCCUGUCUUUGCCCUGUUUGAGGAGAGGCCAGGGGAAGUUGGGGAGACCAGCAGCCCUGCUGGGGAGAUGGACGAGACACAGACUGCCAGCACUCCCAGCAUUCCCCGGUCUGGGCAUGGCGGCAGAAGGAGUAGCCAGACCACCACUCCCACCCCCGGCCACAGAGAGGCAGGAUUCACAGCCAGUAACAUCUUUGAUGUUAUUAUUCAUCUGGCGCACUCUGACACUGACCGGGAACUCCACCAGGAGUUCAGCAGUGAGGAUGAUGUUUCACUGAAUGACAUCAUGGACAUGAAGUCAACCCUGGCCCUGGGUCAGAUCCUGUCCUCAUGGAAGCUGGUCAACAUGAUCUUCAGGGGGAAGGUCCACUACUUUGGGAAGGAUCUCAUCUGCAAGGUGUAUCAGAUGCUUCUGGACACCGGUAUGGGCAGGAGGCCAAUGGCCCGCCAGAGCAGGUCCGAGCCCAUCCUGAAAGACCUGGCUGCCAACCGUAGGCUCUCCAAUGAAUUCUUCACAGACGUGCUGUACAUGUUCAUCCAACGGGCCAUUAAGAAUCUGCUGGAGAACUUCUUGGGUCUGCCGACCACCCCACCAGGCAGAGACAUAAUGUGGAAUGACAACUUUAACUGGAUGUAUAGGGACGGCUGGGGGAACACCCCCACAUCCAGCGAGGAGGAAUUGUGGGACAGCGACUCCACCUGGUCAAGUGGGCAUGGGGAGGAGGAAGGGACAGAGUCCCGUGGGAGGUGGGCCGCUCUGUUGGAGAAGGGCAGCUUACUGACCCUCCAUUCCUCCAGCUCCCUCUCCCUCUCCGAUGACAACAAGGAGGCACUAGGGGCCGUCUGCCAGGUCCUGACCACCAGGGUGGGAGACAUCCUGAACAGUACCUGCAACGACGAUUGCAAGGCCAGGCUCAUCAUCCAGAAAGGUACACUUAUAACCUGUUUUACCCAUAUGACCAGUAAUAACAGUGUAAUAACCUGUGUAAUAACCUGUGUAUUACCAUUAUAG
rnacentral:lncRNA from 1 species